GACGAACGCUGGCGGCGUGCUUAACACAUGCAAGUCGAACGAUGAAGCUGGAGCUUGCUCCGGUGGGUUAGUGGCGAACGGGUGAGUAACACGUGAGCAAUCUGCCCUUCACUCUGGGAUAACUGCGGGAAACUGUAGCGAAUACCGGAUACGAGACCUUGGGGCAUGCCAGGGUCUGGAAAGAAUUUCGGUGAAGGAUGAGCUCGCGGCCUAUCAGCUAGUUGGUGAGGUAAUGGCUCACCAAGGCGACGACGGGUAGCCGGCCUGAGAGGGUGACCGGCCACACUGGGACUGGGACACGGCCCAGACUCCUACGGGAGGCAGCAGUGGGGAAUAUUGCACAAUGGGCGAAAGCCUGAUGCAGCAACGCCGCGUGAGGGAUGAAGGCCUUCGGGUUGUAAACCUCUUCUAGUAGGGAAGAAGCGCAAGUGACGGUACCUACAGAAAAAGCACCGGCUAACUACGUGCCAGCAGCCGCCGUAA
rnacentral:rRNA from 1 species